GAUGAACGCUGGCGGCGUGCUUAACACAUGCAAGUCGAACGGUGAAGCAGGAGCUUGCUCUUGUGGAUCAGUGGCGAACGGGUGAGUAACACGUGAGCAACCUGCCCCUGACCCUGGGAUAAGCGCUGGAAACGGCGGCUAAUACUGGAUAUGUGAUGUGACCGCAUGGUCUGCAUCUGGAAAGAAUUUCGGUUGGGGCUGGGUUCGCGGCCUAUCAGCUUGUGGGUGAGGUAAUGGCUCACCAAGGCGUCGACGGGUAGCCGGCCUGAGAGGGUGACCGGCCACACUGGGACUGAGACACGGCCCAGACUCCUACGGGGGGCAGCAGUGGGGAAUAUUGCACAAUGGGCGGAAGCCUGAUGCAGCAACGCCGCGUGAGGGAUGACGGCCUUCGGGUUGUAAACCUCUUUUAGCAGGGAAGAAGCGAAAGUGACGGUACCUGCAGAAAAAGCACCGGCUAACUACGUGCCAGCCGCCGCCGUAA
rnacentral:rRNA from 1 species